CGGAGGAUCCAAGCGUUAUCCGGUAUCAUUGGGUUUAAAGGGUCCGUAGGCGGGUUUAUAAGUCAGUGGUGAAAGCCCAUCGCUCAACGAUGGAACGGCCAUUGAUACUGUAGAUCUUGAAUUAUUAGGAAGUAACUAGAAUAUGUAGUGUAGCGGUGAAAUGCUUAGAGAUUACAUGGAAUACCAAUUGCGAAGGCAGGUUACUACUAAUGGAUUGACGCUGAUGGACGAAAGCGUGGGUAGCGAACAGGAUUAGAUACCCUGGUAGUCCACGCCGUAAACGAUGGAUACUAGCUGUUCGGAGCAAUCUGAGUGGCUAAGCGAAAGUGAUAAGUAUCCCACCUGGGGAGUACGUUCGCAAGAAUG
rnacentral:rRNA from 1 species